rnacentral:rRNA from 1 species
UACGAAGGGUGCUAGCGUUGUUCGGAAUCACUGGGCGUAAAGCGCGCGUAGGCGGCUUUUCAAGUCAGGGGUGAAAUCCUGGGGCUUAACCCCAGAAUUGCCUUUGAAACUGGAAAGCUAGAGUACUGGGAGGGGAUAGCGGAAUUCCUAAUGUAGAGGUGAAAUUCGUAGAUAUUAGGAGGAACACCGGUGGCGAAGGCGGCUAUCUGGACAGUAACUGACGCUCUGGCGCGAAAGCGCGGGGAUCAAACAGG